rnacentral:rRNA from 1 species
CCAACAGGGAUUGCCUCAGUAACGGCGAGUGAAGCGGCAACAGCUCAAAUUUGAAAUCUGGCCUUUGGCCCGAGUUGUAAUUUGCAGAGGAUGCUUCUGGCGCGGUGCCUUCCAAGUCCCCUGGAACGGGGCGCCAUAGAGGGUGAGAGCCCCGUCGGGUCGGCCGCCAAGCCUGUGUGAAGCUCCUUCGACGAGUCGAGUAGUUUGGGAAUGCUGCUCUAAAUGGGAGGUAGACCCCUUCUAAAGCUAAAUACCGGCCAGAGACCGAUAGCGCACAAGUAGAGUGAUCGAAAGAUGAAAAGCACUUUGAAAAGAGGGUUAAACAGUACGUGAAAUUGUUGAAAGGGAAGCGCUUGUGACCAGACGUGCGCCGGGUGUUCAGCGGGCGUUCUCGCCCGUGUAUUCGCCCCGGCGCAGGCCAGCGUCGGUUCGGGUGGGGGGAUAAAGGUGUCAGGAACGUGGCUCCCUCGGGAGUGUUAUAGCCUGGCGCGUCAUGCUCCCGCCUGGACCGAGGUUCGCGCUCCGCAAGGACGCUGGCGUAAUGGUCCCCAGCGGCCCGUCUUGAAACACGGACCAAGGAGUCGAGGUUUUAUGCGAGUGUCUGGGUGUCAAACCCGCACGCGUAAUGAAAGUGAACGUAGGUGGGAGCUUCGGCGCACCACCGACCGAUCCUGAUGUUUUCGGAUGGAUUUGAGUAGGAGCAUAGGGCCUCGGACCCGAAAGAUGGUGAACUAUACUUGGAUAGGGUGAAGCCAGAGGAAACUCUGGUGGAGGCUCGCAGCGGUUCUGACGUGCAAAUCGAUCGUCAAAUCUGAGUAUGGGGGCGAAAGACUAAUCGAACCAU